GACGAACGCUGGCGGCGUGCUUAACACAUGCAAGUCGAACGGUGAAGCGCCUUCCUUUUUGGUGGGUGUGGAUGAGUGGCGAACGGGUGAGUAACACGUGAGUAACCUGCCCCCUUCUUCUGGAUAACCGCAUGAAAGUGUGGCUAAUACGGGAUAUUCUGGGUCUGUCGCAUGAUGGGUCUGGGAAAGAUAUUGUUUCGGUGGGGGAUGGGCUCGCGGCCUAUCAGCUUGUUGGUGGGGUGAUGGCCUACCAAGGCGGUGACGGGUAGCCGGCCUGAGAGGGUGGACGGUCACACUGGUACUGAGACACGGCCCAGACUCCUACGGGAGGCAGCAGUGGGGAAUAUUGCACAAUGGGCGCAAGCCUGAUGCAGCGACGCCGCGUGAGGGAUGGAGGCCUUCGGGUUGUGAACCUCUUUCGCCAGUGAAGCAGGCCUGCCUCGUUUGUGGGUGGGUUGACGGUAGCUGGAUAAGAAGCGCCGGCUAACUACGUG
rnacentral:rRNA from 1 species